rnacentral:lncRNA from 10 species
GGUCUCCUCACGUGUCCCCAUCUCCUCACAUGCGGGCUGGAUGUCCUCAGACCUCCCCAGGUCUCAUCAGGUGUGCCCAUCUCCUCACAUGUGGGCUGGAUGUCCUCAAACCUCCAACGGUCUCAUUACGUGUGCCCGUCUCCUCACAUGAGGCCCGGAUGUCCUCAGACAGGCCCAGGACCCUUCACCCUCCAUUCUUCAGUUGUUCCCAGAAUUCUCCCUGCGUGCUUGGCCUGGGCCAGGUGCCUGGUGGGGAGUGGGCCUCCCGCGAUGGGCUCUCACCCGCUGUUCUGAGUGCUAACCGGGGGGCCUGAAUCUGAGGAGGAAGCGGUCGGGUGCGGCGUGCACUGCAUGAGUCACCCCACGACGAUCUGUGUGAUGGAGUUAACAGCCACCCUACAGAUGAGGUGCGCGCUUGGUUAUUUAUAGCCCAUCAUGUUCCCAAAAGAAUUGAAGUGACUAACAAAAGUAUGUGAAAUUAAAUGAAGCAAUGCUGAUGAGAGUGAGGAGAGAAUGGAGUGAGCAGAGUGGAGUGAGUGAGUGGGGGAUGGAGUGGACAGAGUGGAAUGAGUGAGUGUGGGAUGGAGUGAGUAGAGUGGAG